AGUGAUGACGCUGGUCUUUGAUAUUUCCCUCCCGGAACCCUCGAACUUAGUCUGAAAACGGGGGGAAUCUUUUCAGAGACGAACAACAUGGCUGCGCGUGUAGUGCAGUCUAAAAACAGCGAAUUAAAUUCAUAUUUCCGCCGUUUAGGACUUAACUACCGAGACACUCAUACGUUCGCUAUUGAAAUGCUCUCGCGCACACCAGAUGUCCGGAUUUAUGUCGGACCGUGUUUCAUUAGUACGCGUUUACGUUACGUAAGAGUGUCUCUCUAAACGGCCCCUCAUAUUUAUGGUUGAUAUGAUUCAGUGGUUGGUGCUUGGUUUCCAAUAAAUCUGGCACGUUUGCCUGAGUGAAAUGUUACGAAUAUCGCAGUAAUCGCCGUGGACGCUCUCGCUGCUUCGUGUCUCGCUUCCACCGAUAAAUAUAUAUAUAUAUUUGCAUCGCGUUACGCUUAAUUUGUUGCACUAAUUUGCGUCGGAUAUUUUCUAACUCUUUUAAUACUUGUUGGAGUUGUGUUUGCAGCAUUUUUGAACGGAUAUGUUUUAUGUUUUAACUUAGACGACCGUUUCUGUGGCUGUGAGGUUAUGUUUGUUUGUGACGAGUGCCUCUUAAAACAGGGGUCUUCAGGCCAAGGACCCCCAAACUGACGGCGAGCUGGGGCAGGGACCCCCUGUUCUACGGCCUUUGGUCCGCCAUCUUUUAUUUGUGAUCUUCGCGCGCUUUAGACGUGAGCAUAGACGCGAUCUGAUUGGCUGCUGCCUGCACGACGCAGGAAGGAGCUGCGAGUGGACCGGUGCUGCUGUGGGAAGCUGAAUGUUACCUCCGCGGACCCCCUGUUGAAGGCCUCUGUCUCAUAAGAUGUGACAGAAUUAUCCAGUUCCAAGGGAAAAACCCUCUACCAACCCCACCAGUGGAGGUUGUUGUUUCUGAACCACUACUAAAGUUAGUGUACUCCACCCUCCGGUACCUCCAUCAUUGCUGCAAACAGGAGGAAAGCUACUUACAGAUGAGGAACUAAAUAGUUGAUGGAAAAUUUGAUCAUCACCAUCUCUCCUUCGUCUUCUAGAAAUGACACAACUACAUUUACAAAUAACAGACCUAUGAACUAUUUCCUCUUUGGAUAUGUGGUUUAAAGGUUUUGCUGCCAAUUCACACCUCUAAAUAAACCUCUGAUGACAUCAGGACCACAGAGAGCCGUCACAUCUCCCACCGCAAAAUAAAGACACACCUCUACCUCGACUAAAGGACUAACAAAUUGUAGCACUUAAAUUCUACUUAUAACGCCACUAAUCUAUAGCAAACUAACUUAUUUGAUAAAAUCACACUUUCUUGUUUGUAUCCCUACGGUUGAAUGCACUUAUUGUAAGUCGCUUUGGAUAAAAGCGGCAGCUAAAUAACUUGUAAUGUAAAACAAGAUGUGUGGCUGUGGUGUCACACGACCAUGACUCACGACAGAGCUGAUCCGCUUCUACAGAGAUUGUGAACGCCGUAAGCCGUUUCUCAGCAGAGUGUCAGCGUGGACGUGAGGAUGGGACGCGCUUUGUUUGGCGUGUUGGGGCUUUUCU
ensembl:lncRNA